AUUUGGUGGUCUUGUAGAGGGUCAGGCAGAGAGCAUAGUAGAGGACAUUGAGAACAUGGUUAGGGGCUUCAUUGAGAAGCCCAACUGUAUCAUUAUGGCUAUUUCCCCUGCCAACCAAGAUCUUGCUACGUCUGAUGCAAUUAAGAUCUCUUGUGAAGUAGAUCCCAAAGGUGAGAGGACAUUUGGAGUUCUCACAAAGAUUGAUCUUAUGGACCAAGGUACAAAUGCAGUCGAUAUUUUGGAAGGAAGA